rnacentral:rRNA from 1 species
UGCAAGUCGAGGGGCAGCACGGGUAGCAAUACUGGGUGGCGACCGGCAAACGGGUGCGGAACACGUACACAACCUUCCUUUGAGCGGGGGAUAGCCCAGAGAAAUUUGGAUUAAUACCCCAUAGUAUAUAAAAAAGGCAUCUUUUUAAUAUUAAAGAUUUAUCACUUGAAGAUGGGUGUGCGUCUGAUUAGGUAGUUGGCGGGGUAACGGCCCACCAAGCCAUCGAUCAGUAACUGGUGUGAGAGCACGACCAGUCACACGGGCACUGAGACACGGGCCCGACUCCUACGGGAGGCAGCAGUAAGGAAUAUUGGUCAAUGGACGCAAGUCUGAACCAGCCAUGCCGCGUGGAGGAUGAAGGUCCUCUGGAUUGUAAACUUCUUUUAUUUGGGAAGAAAUGCAUCUUUUCUAAGGUGUUUGACGGUACCAGAUGAAUAAGCACCGGCUAACUCCGUGCCAGCAGCCGCGGUAAUACGGAGGGUGCAAGCGUUAUCCGGAUUCACUGGGUUUAAAGGGUGCGUAGGUGGGCUGUUAAGUCAGUGGUGAAAUCUCCGGGCUCAACCCGGAAACUGCCAUUGAUACUAUCAGUCUUGAAUAUCGUGGAGGUAAGCGGAAUAUGUCAUGUAGCGGUGAAAUGCUUAGAUAUGACAUAGAACACCAAUUGCGAAGGCAGCUUGCUACCCGAAUAUUGACACUGAGGCACGAAAGCGUGGGGAUCAAACAGGAUUAGAUACCCUGGUAGUCCACGCCCUAAACGAUGGAUACUCGACAUACGCGAUACACAGUGUGUGUCUGAGCGAAAGCAUUAAGUAUCCCACCCUGGGAAGUACGACCGCAGGUUGAAACUCAAAGGAAUUGACGGGG